rnacentral:piRNA from 1 species
UGUGUUCUCUUGGGGUCUGUAUGACA